rnacentral:tRNA from 1 species
UCUAAUAUGGCAGAUAAGUGCAAUGGAUUUAAGCUUCAUAUAUAAAGGUCACUCCUUUUAUUAGAA